rnacentral:rRNA from 1 species
ACUCAAAUGAAUUGACGGGGGCCCGCACAAGCAGCGGAGCAUGUGGUUUAAUUCGACGCAACGCGAAGAACCUUACCUGGGCUUGACAUGUCGGUCAUACCUGUGGAAACACAGGGUCAGUUCGGCUGGACCGUCACAGGUGGUGCAUGGCUGUCGUCAGCUCGUGUCGUGAGAUGUUGGGUUAAGUCCCGCAACGAGCGCAACCCCCGUUGCAUGUUGCCAGCGGUUCGGCCGGGGACUCAUGCAAGACUGCCGGUGACAAACCGGAGGAAGGUGGGGAUGACGUCAAGUCAUCAUGCCCCUUAUGUCCAGGGCUACACACGUGCUACAUUGGCGCAUACAAAGGGCUGCGAUACCGCGAGGUGGAGCGAAUCCCAAAAAGUGCGUCUCGGUUCGGAUUGGAGGCUGAAACUCGCCUCCAUGAAGCCGGAGUUGCUAGUAAUCGUGAAUCAGCAACGUCACGGUGAAUACGUUCCCGGGCCUUGCACACACCGCCCGU